UGGGCCAUAGCCAAGCGGUAAGGCAUCGGGUUUUGAUCCCGUGACUCCCAGGUUCGAAUCCUGGUGGCCCAG
rnacentral:tRNA from 1 species